ACCUCAUACCUCCAGGUAGAGUCAAUACCACCACCUCAUACCUCCAGGUAGAGUCAGGACCGCCUCAUACCUCCAGGUAGAGUCAGUACCACCACCUCAUACCUCCAGGUAGAGUCAGUACCACCACCUCAUACCUCCAGGUAGAGUCAGUACCACCUCAUACCUCCAGGUAGAGUCAAUACCACCACCUCAUACCUCCAGGUAGAGUCAAUACCACCACCUCAUACCUCCAGGUAGAGUCAGGACCGCCUCAUACCUCCAGGUUGAGUCAGGACCCCCUCAUACCUCCAGGUUGAGUCAGGACCCCCUCAUACCUCCAGGUAGAGUCAGGACCGCCUCAUACCUCCAGGUAGA